rnacentral:rRNA from 1 species
AGACCCGAAACCCGGUGAUCUAGCCAUGGGCAGGUUGAAGGUUGGGUAACACUAACUGGAGGACCGAACCGACUAAUGUUGAAAAAUUAGCGGAUGACCUGUGGCUGGGGGUGAAAGGCCAAUCAAACCGGGAGAUAGCUGGUUCUCCCCGAAAGCUAUUUAGGUAGCGCCUCGUGAAUUCAUCUCCGGGGGUAGAGCACUGUUUCGGCUAGGGGGCCAUCCCGGCUUACCAACCCGAUGCAAACUGCGAAUACCGGAGAAUGUUAUCACGGGAGACACACGGCGGGUGCUAACGUCCGUCGUGAAGAGGGAAACAACCCAGACCGCCAGCUAAGGUCCCAAAGUCAUGGUUAAGUGGGAAACGAUGUGGGAAGGCCCAGACAGCCAGGAUGUUGGCUUAGAAGCAGCCAUCAUUUAAAGAAAGCGUAAUAGCUCACUGGUCGAGUCGGCCUGCGCGGAAGAUGUAACGGGGCUAAACCAUGCACCGAAGCUGCGGCAGCGAACGUAUCACCCAAGACAACUUUACGGAGUUGACGAUUGACGGAGCGAAGCGACGUCAAAGCGUUCAUUAAAGUCGAGUUGGCUUAGGGAUACGUUCGUUGGGUAGGGGAGCGUUCUGUAAGCCUGCGAAGGUGGCCUGUGAGGGUUGCUGGAGGUAUCAGAAGUGCGAAUGCUGACAUAAGUAACGAUAAAGCGGGUGAAAAGCCCGCUCGCCGGAA